GACGAACGCUGGCGGCGUGCUUAACACAUGCAAGUCGAACGGAAAGGCCCUGCUUUUGUGGUGUGCUCGAGUGGCGAACGGGUGAGUAACACGUGAGUAACCUGCCCUUGACUUUGGGAUAACUUCAGUAAACUGGGGCUACUACCGGAUAUUAGCUCCUGCUGCAUGGUGGGGUUUGGAAAGUUUCGGCGGUUGGUGAUGGACUCGCGGCUGAUCAGCUUGUUGGUGGGGUAGUGGCUUACCAAGUCUCUGACGGGUAGCCGGCCUGAGAGGGUGACCGGCCAUAUUGGGACUGAGAUACGGCGCAGACGCCGACGGGAGGAAGGAGUGGGGAAUAUUGCACUAUGGGCGGAAGCCUGAUGCAGCAACGCCGCGUGCGGGAUGACGGCCUUCGGGUUGUAAACCGCUUGCGCCUGUGACGAAGCGUGAGUGACGGUAAUGGGUAAAGAAGCACCGGCUAACUACGUG
rnacentral:rRNA from 1 species